UUUUUUUGUAGAGCAUUUUGCCAAAUUAGUUGUUUUUUUACUUAUUUGUUGCUUUUUAUCAUCAUACUGAAACUAGAAAACCAAGUCUUGGCCUGUGGCUUAACUCUAGUUUUCAUGGAAAAGUUUCCAAGGUUGAAUUUUCUGCAAAUGACACCUAACAUUACCUAGAUCUAAUUCAUGCUGUUCAUUUUACUGGUAACCAAGGGAGAGAUUCCGUUGAAGUUAUUAUCCCUCUGUUACACAAUAAUUCAGUAAGACUGGAAAAUCUGUUAUUUAGGAGAUAAUUUUAGUUUGCCGCUGAGGUUACAAGGCAAUAAAUGACUCUUUUCUGGAUCCUUAGAGUUUACCCAGCACAUUUAUGGGGCUAUUUGUUGCCCUGUGUACUUAUGUGGGAUCAGCAUUGCUCAGGCUGUCAAACCCGAACAGAAAUCUCUCAAACUCCUGCAGCUUGACUUUGAAACUCCAAAGGCCAGAGCCCUUACAGCCUGCACCUAGAAUGGAAAAGAAUAAAGAAAGCAGCACCGAGUCCUGUCUCUUAGAGGCUGUGGCUUUCCAUGGGAAGGUCCCAAAGAUCUUCCCCUUAAAGCAUGGGCUUUCUUCAGAUGCUCAUCCAAUUCGAGUAAAGCUGAGGACAAUAAAGGGGGCUACGAAAGCCAAUUCAGACCCUUUAAAGACUCAGCGUUCUGGCUACAGAGCCAGCAGAAAAAGAUUCCUUCAAACCACAUGGCAGUCCAACUGGGAUCCAUGAAAGGGUGUCUUCCUAGGCUCCAUUGUCCCCAAGGCACUCCCAGCGCACCUUAUCAUGAUGAUGGAAGUAGCUCCCUCCCCUUGGAGACGUCAUCUGAGCAAACUGAUGGACUGCACAGGCUCUAGACCCUGAGGACAUGAGUGCUAAAUGCAGGUCCUUCUCCCUCCCAGAGGAGAAAAUGAAAGCAGCGGAAGAAUGCCUCCUUAUACUUGGGUUAUUGGGGAUAAUUAAGCGUUCUUUGGGAAAAGAGAGAUUAAAAAGGAUGUAAGAGGGAGGAGGGCAGAGAGCCUGUCUACCCUGUCUUUAGUACAUCCUUCCAGCACUGCUUUGUUAUGCCACCCUAGCAAUACAAAUGGGGCUGCAUCUCGCAGGAGAAGAGAGCAAGAGGAGAAAAAAGGUGUAGGUAGGCAAGAGAGGAGACAGAAACAGAGACACACACACAGUGACAGAAAGAGAGACAGAGGAACAGUCAGAGCUAGAGGAAGACAGAGCCAGCCAGACAGACAGAGAGAACAUAGAGUCCAUCUCACUCACGUGGUGCCAACACUAGGGAAAAUGAUCAGCAGGCAUUUCCUUCCUCUGGGCCCAACAGGGGAGAUGACCCACUUUCAAGGCACUGAGGUUUCAGUGUUCUUCUGAUGGACAAGUUCUUACCAUUCCUCUCUGGUUGCCUCAGCGAGGGUUUCAAAUGGAGAAGUAGUGAGGGAUGUGAAAAUGAGAGGACUCAUAGCCUUAAUCCAUGGAGGCGCAGGGAGUCAUUAGUUUGAGGCUU
rnacentral:lncRNA from 1 species